ACGCCGUUUUUCGCGUGCGAACUCCAGCGCGGUUCCUACCUUUGCACGACGACCAGUAGGGGUAUGAGGAAUGGCGGAGAACUGGCGAGACAACUGAGUCCUGCAGAUGUCUCGAGAACGAUCCUGUCCUGUUGUCAAUGGUGACGAUCCGUGUCUCCCAACUACGAUGAUGACUCUCUCUCUCUCUCUCUUUCUCUCUCUCUCUCUCUCUCUUUCUCUCUCUCUCUCUCUCGUGCGCGCUUCGGCUCUUGCUCUCCUGUGUAGCUAGGUUUUCCCGGCCGUUGAUACACUCGUUAUCGCGCUGCGGUGCCUUACCGACUAUAGAUGCAACAGUCCCUGCUUAUGGCGAUGUUGUGUAUAACCCAACGAUGGACACGGGGUUAAAGAAGUGAUUAUCCCACUGGGCUAGUGAGCAUAGCACACACAGCACACGCGCGAGGGCUAGGCGGCGACAAAUCACCUCUGUUCAGCUGUUCAGCUUCGCCUGUCAUGUAGGCGAGCAGACGAUAAUGAG